GUGGGGAAUCUUAGACAAUGGGGGAAACCCUGAUCUAGCCAUGCCGCGUGAGCGAUGAAGGCCUUAGGGUUGUAAAGCUCUUUCAGCUGGGAAGAUAAUGACGGUACCAGCAGAAGAAGCCCCGGCUAACUCCGUGCCAGCAGCCGCGGUAAUACGGAGGGGGCUAGCGUUGUUCGGAAUUACUGGGCGUAAAGCGCGCGUAGGCGGACAAGAAAGUUGGAGGUGAAAUCCCAGGGCUCAACCUUGGAACUGCCUUCAAAACUCCUGGUCUGGAGUUCGAGAGAGGUGAGUGGAAUUCCGAGUGUAGAGGUGAAAUUCGUAGAUAUUCGGAGGAACACCAGUGGCGAAGGCGGCUCACUGGCUCGAUACUGACGCUGAGGUGCGAAAGCGUGGGGAGCAAACAGGAUUAGAAACCCGUGUAGUCC
rnacentral:rRNA from 1 species